rnacentral:rRNA from 1 species
GCAUCGCUGGGUAGCUAUGUGUGGACGGGAUAAGUGCUGAAAGCAUCUAAGCAUGAAGCCCCCCUCAAGAUGAGAUUUCCCAUUACGCAAGUAAGUAAGAUCCCUCAAAGACGAUGAGGUAGAUAGGUUCGAGGUGGAAGUGUGGUGACACAUGGAGCUGACGAAUACUAAUCGAUCGAGGACUUAACCA